GACGAACGCUGGCGGCGUGCCUAACACAUGCAAGUCGAACGGUAAGGCCCUUCGGGGUACGCGAGUGGCGAACGGGUGAGUAACACGUGGGUGAUCUGCCCUGCACUUCGGGAUAAGCCUGGGAAACUGGGUCUAAUACCGGAUAGGACUCCGGACUGCAUGGUCUGGGGUGGAAAGCUUUUGCGGUGUGGGAUGGGCCCGCGGCCUAUCAGCUUGUUGGUGGGGUGAUGGCCUACCAAGGCGACGACGGGUAGCCGGCCUGGGAGGGUGACCGGCCACACUGGGACUGAGAUACGGCCCAGACUCCUACGGGAGGCAGCAGUGGGGAAUAUUGCACAAUGGGCGCAAGCCUGAUGCAGCGACGCCGCGUGAGGGAUGACGGCCUUCGGGUUGUAAACCUCUUUCAGCAUCGACGAAGCGAAAGUGACGGUAGGUGCAGAAGAAGGACCGGCCAACUACGUGCCAGCCGCCGCAGUAA
rnacentral:rRNA from 1 species